rnacentral:lncRNA from 1 species
GCCACUACACUCUGGACUCUACUCAUCAAUCAUCACUGACUGGUCUCUAAAUCAUGUUUUUGAUUCCUGGAUUUGAAUGGGGGCAAUGAGUAAUCCAAAGGUGAUUUCAUGUGUCGUGGAGAAUGUGUUGCCGGAUAUCCUGUUUGUGAGUUUCACUUCCUCAAGCGGAUCAGGAAAAUCUAUCAAGGAGCUCUCAUCCACCAGCCGCCUCUUCAAAGGCCUCCGCACAUUGAUAACUUCCCACUCCAAUUGAAAAA